rnacentral:rRNA from 1 species
GAUGAACGCUGGCGGCGUGCCUAACACAUGCAAGUCGAACGGAGUCCAGCCUUAGAGACCUUCUGGUCAAGGAGGGGACGACUGAGUGGCGGACGGGUGAGCAACCCGUGGGCAACCUAUCUCAUAGAGGGGGUUAACAUAGUGAAAUUUCUGAUAAUACCGCACAUGCACACCCUGCCGCAUUUCAGAGUGUGAAAAGAGAAUCGCUAUGUGAUGGACUCGUGUCUGCUUAGUCGGUUGGCAGGGUAAGAGCCUGCCAACGCGACGAUCAGUAGCCGAUUUGAGAGGCUGAACGGUCACAUUGGGACUGAGACACGGCCUAAUCUGCUACGGAAGGGUGGAGUGGAGGAUAUUACACAAUGAAGCGAACCCUAGUACAGCGGCGCCGGGGGAGUGGAGAAGUAUUUCGGUAUGUAAAGCUCUAUCAGCAGAGGAGAGAGUGACGGUAACUGAAUAAGAAGCCCCGGCUAACUACGUG